UACAGAGGUCCCAAGCGUUGUUCGGAUUCACUGGGCGUAAAGGGCGCGUAGGUGGCGGAGCAAGUCAACGGUGAAAGCUCGACGCUCAACGUCGAGUCGGCCGUCGAUACUGCUUUGCUCGAGCACUGUAGAGGCAGAUGGAAUUCCGGGUGUAGCGGUGGAAUGCGUAGAGAUCCGGAAGAACACCGGUGGCGAAGGCGGUCUGCUGGGCAGUAGCUGACACUGAGGCGCGGACAGCGUGGGGAGCAACAGG
rnacentral:rRNA from 1 species